CUUCAGGGACUGGGGUGGUCUCGAAGAUCCCAGACGAGCCCCCAAAUGAAAGAUACCUGAAGAGAGACCCUUACUCAAGUCUUGGGAAAUCGCCGACCCCAGACACAGAGAGACGA
rnacentral:pre_miRNA from 14 species